UGGCUAUUCUCGGAUGUGGACCCCUUUAAAAAUGACAAAUGUCUUGUCAAUACAGACCAUCCAUCCUCUCUUGCUUUCUCAUCAUUUUUCGGCGUGAGGAGGGACCCAGGCGCAGGCCCGGCGGCGCGUGUCACGCGGCCUGCAUUGUACCGUAAUCGCCAAAACCUUGGCCUAAUUUGCAGCUAAUAUAUCUCGAGCGAAGGAGUCGGCCGAGAAAUCAGUGGCCCAAGGAGCUAGAUUUAAGCUUUGUUGGGAUCGGAAAUUAAGGGACUGCAAGGGGGAUGUGAUUCAUAUUAUUCUCCCCUCUCCCCCUCCCACACACGACCAUACGUCUCUCCGCUCGGCCUGCAGGGACGCGGCCCUUAUCUCUCCGCGGCCUGUGUCCCUGUCGCUUGCUUGUCUCGCUCCGGACCACUGUGUCUGGGGCGCCCUCCGCCUGGUUUCUCCUCGCCCCCGGGAGGAGGCGCUGGUGUCCGGGUCGGCCUCUGGUCCCUCCCAGCCGGCGUCCCGGAGCCCCCAUUCACAAAGCCCGGCUUGGAGGAGGCGACACCACACACACACACACACACACACACACACACACGCACGCACACACACCCCGAAGAGGGGAGUUUGAUCUUGUCUCAUUGGCGUCUCGGGCCUGAAAGGAAAAUCGUUUGGGUAAACAGCCAAGCUUCCAGGCUUAACGCCCGGCUGCCGCCCCCGCCCCUCCGCCCCCUCCCGCCUCCCCCACUCCCCUUCCACCCCACCCGCCACCCACACUCCGCUCCGCAGCCGGGCCCCGAGCGAGCUCCGCGCGCCCGGGCGGGAGCCGAGGGCUCCCCGGGUUCAAAGGGCCGCAGCCCCGAGGGAAUGCCCUCCUCGCUGUGCCCCGAGGGGCAGAAGCGGACCGCAGGGCGGUGGGACCGGCCCGGGCCACGAUGGUGUUCAGUGACAAGACCCAAACUAUUUGCAAAACUCCAGGACAUGCGUCUUUCUGCGGAGAAAAACAGACAUUAUCAAAAGCCUGGAAGGAAUCUUUGACUUUCUCCCAUUUGAACAAACAACAGCUUCAAAGUUGUUGACAGUGUACUAAACAAAGAUACGAGAAUAUCCCCAGAAAGGAAAAUAUGCCAGGACGAAGUUGUUUCCUGUAUGUGAACGCUGAGAUUUAAGGAAAUAUCGUGGCUCCCCUUUAACUCACAAAUAAAUUCUUUUUUUUUUUGAACAAUUGCUCCCUUUGAGAUUUGCAAAUAGUUCCACUAGUUUACACAGUCCUUUUUUCCUCCUUCCUUUUAAGUAUACCUCUUAAGUAAGCAGACACUUUAACUUGCCUUCUUAUUAGACAGCUUUUUCUUUAUUGCCUUUUCAUAGCACAGCUAUCAAAAAUAAGAUAAUACGCAAGAUCUGGGACCUAAUCAGCUUUCUGGCUGAGUUUAAAGAGUCUAGAGGCUGUUUAAAGGUAGCCCUGGUUAUGUGUGCGGGCUUUACUGCCUUGUUUGCUCGACCACAUUUUGAUGGAGAGGGUAAUGUGUUUGCUAGAUAAGGCAAAAGGGACCAGCCAAAAAAGCAAGGCUCUGUUUGAUAAACCCUGACAUAUUUAGCCAUUUUUCUCCCACAUGAAAGGAAGCUUUAAAACUCUAAGAAAAAUAGAGGUGUCCGUUCAAGCACGCUAAUGUUGAUCAAGACAAAAAAAAAAAAAAAAAAAAAAAAAAGAAGUAAAUAAAGAAAAUGGGCAUCUUUUAGUCUAUUAAAUUAAUUAGCUCCAGAGCUUAUCACGCAGUUGAAAAGCUGGAUAAAAUACAAGUCUGUUUCUCGUUGUUGUCAUUUGAUGUGAAGGGUGAGUUCUUUAAGUCAGUGUACGUUGAAAAGACAGUUGUUCUGUUCAGCUUGACUUGCCCUGGUAGAAGGUUUGAACCCUGUAUGAAGGAGCUCAUUAAGCAAAGUUAAACUCUUAUAAGGCCGAUCAGCAUGGACUUGGGAUGAGAACUCAGUCUGAAAUUAGGGUUGAACACACAUGAUGACAGUCUUUGUUAAGUGGCCUAUAGCCUGAAAACAGAUUUAAAAAGCCAGAAUCAAAAUAUGUCACCGGACAUCUACCGGUAACUAGAGGUCCAUAGAUAGCUCUACAAUCUGGAAUGAUGUAAAAAUGUUGGAGGUGAACUAUUGAUUAUCUUAUAAUAAUUUUCCUUUUCUAGAAAAAGUAAAGGAAUAAAAUGUCAGAAAGCUUCACAAAAUAGAGCUGUCUCUCAAAAUGAGACUUGAACUGGUGUAGGCAU